GAUGAACGCUGGCGGCGUGCCUAAUACAUGCAAGUCGAGCGAACAGAUAAGGAGCUUGCUCCUUUGACGUUAGCGGCGGACGGGUGAGUAACACGUGGAUAACCUACCUAUAAGACUGGGAUAACUUCGGGAAACCGGAGCUAAUACCGGAUAACAUAUUGAACCGCAUGGUUCAAUAGUGAAAGGCGGCUUUGCUGUCACUUAUAGAUGGAUCCGCGCCGUAUUAGCUAGUUGGUAAGGUAACGGCUUACCAAGGCAACGAUACGUAGCCGACCUGAGAGGGUGGUCGGCCACACUGGAACUGAGACACGGUCCAGACUCCUACGGGAGGCAGCAGUAGGGAAUCUUCCGCAAUGGGCGAAAGCCUGACGGAGCAACGCCGCGUGAGUGAUGAAGGUCUUCGGAUCGUAAAACUCUGUUAUCAGGGAAGAACAAAUGUGUAAGUAACUGUGCACAUCUUGACGGUACCUGAUCAGAAAGCCACGGCUAACUACGUG
rnacentral:rRNA from 1 species